GGCCCCUUGGUCAAGCGGUUAAGACACCGCCCUUUCACGGCGGUAACACGGGUUCGAAUCCCGUAGGGGUCACUA
rnacentral:tRNA from 5 species